AGUGUAUUUUAACACAGCAGUGUAUUUCAACAUAAUGACCUUGUGAAAUGGCUAGGAUAUAUUUUUCUGAUCUAUCCGACAGACUGGACGUGUCACAACCGCCGGCGUAUGAUUCCUUAUUUGGAAGACAAUCAGCAUCUUCCCGAGACCAAGCUGACACACCAUCUAAUACAAACCAAAGAGAUCAAUCCAUCCAAGAAGGAACAGCAGAAGCAAAUAGAAAAUUUAAAUAUUACAUGAUUUUGAUUGUUAUUUUAUUUUUGGCUUCCAUUGCUGCACUCGAAGUGGCUUAUCAAAAAUAUUUCAAGCAUAAAGAUGACAAGGAAGAUACUUCUUCAGAUGAUGUUCGGUUAUCACCCAACAAUUCUUUCCCGGAGUAUUCAUCUUCCACAUCUUCCUCGUACAAUGAUCAUACCAAACCCUUGCCAGAGUAUCCAUCAACCACAUCUUCCCCAAACAUGUAUCAUAAUACUACCAAACCUUCCGCAGAUCAUCUACCCGGAAGCUGGGGAACACGUUUUAUUGUGUUGUUCAUGCAAAACAUACGGAAUACGAAGAAAUCCAUUUACGUCACAUCAGUCAACGGAAUACGGAUAAACGUUACAACGUCUGAACGUCUCAAUAGUUCUCUCAAAAGAAAAUAUAUCGGAGUGGGGAAACUUUUAGCAUCAAACUCAACCGUUAUGAAACAUACCAGAUUCAACAUACUGUGGACUUGACAGGAACGUUCGUUCAGUCAUCUUUACCUAUUGCCGUCUUCUCUGGAGAUGAUUGCAACAAAUUAAAUGGGCAAGGGUUUUGUGAUCACCUAAUUGAACAAUUGCCACCGACAUCCAGAAUUGAUGCAGUAUAUGUUGUUCCACCCCAUCUGUACAGCAAUACCAAAAUACGAGUCAUGGCCAUCGAUAAAUCAACAAUUUUUUACAAUUGCACAAAUAAGACUUUCUACAAGUCGUAUGAGCGUUUGGAAUACUUUGAUAUUGAUAUUUCAAGCAACGGAGUGUGUUAUAUUCAAUCGAACGGACCUAUUUUGGUAGCAAGUUUCGGUUUAUCUUCUUCAUUAAGCUACAACAGUGAUCCUUCAAUGGUUAUUGUUCCAGGAUUUCAUCAGUACCAAAAUUACUACAAAAUAAUAGUUCCUUUUGGAUAUGAUUACAGCUAUAUUACAGUUAUUAUGGAACAAAGCGACAGUCUACUGCUUCUAAACGGCUACACAGUAGCAUCAAGCAAUAUUCUUUAUCAGGAAAUCCUCUACUAUAGUACUCAUUUCAAGGUAAUGAUAAUUCGUGUGCUCGCAGGUGAACUUACGGUGACUACAACGAAAAGCGAUAAAUUUGGACUAAUGUGUGCUGGCAUGAAUUUUUUCAAAUCCUUUGCUUUCUCUGGUAAUUCUGUAUUGUAAUAUUGGUUGGGAUUUUUUUUUCAUUGUUUAAAGUUAAAGGGGCAUGGUCACGAUUUUGGUCAAAUUUUAUUUUUCUUUUUUUAUUAUUUGCAAUGUUCAGGAAUGCAUUUCUAAUGAUCAAAUGCAAUUUGGGUGCCAGUCGUUGAGUUUUAAGCAAAAUACAGGGCUUACAAUUCUUCGUCAUGUAAACAAGGCUCGUGCCCUGUUUUUGUUUACAUAGGUUCAAUAUACCAGUACAAAAUCUUUUUAAAGCUGGUUUGUCUAUCUAAUUAUUCAUUUUAAGCAUAAAUGAACAGUUCCUAAGGAUUAACAGAUUCAUUUUAGGUCUAAAACUGGAAUUUUCACUUUAACAUUCAAAAUGUAAACAAACGCUUUGUUUACAUAGCGAAGAAUUGUAAGCUCUGUAACUCGCUUAUGACUUAUCAAAUGGCAUUCAAAUUUUGGUUGCCUAUUAAAAAUGCCUUACUGAAGCAUUGUAAACAUUAAAAUCGAAAAAAUAAUUGUUGACCAAAAUCGUGACCAUGCCCCUUUAAAUUCUUUAAUACACAACAUGUCCUAAACUUGAGUUACGUGUUACAUAUAGAGAACAGUUAAAAAUAUGAUUUUACGAACAUGAACAUCAGCAGUUUAUUUGUGUAAAUUACAAAUCUGGUUAAAAUGGGCGUUCCUCGAGAUAUAAUAAAAUAUCAGAAUACAUGUUUAACAUUAACCUAUUAAACAAAAGAGAGAGAGAGAGAGAGAGAGAGAGAGAGAGAGAGAGAGAGAGAGAGAGAGGUUGUAUUUACGCAUUAUUUUGAUAUUUGUAAAAUAUAAAUGUAUAUAGAUUUUAAAGUCAAUAAAAUAUCCGUGCUGUUUGUCGCACAUAUAUUGCAGAAUCUAUUUACUGAUAUAUAUGAUUUAGAAUUAUGACAUCAUUAUGCUACUAAUUGAUCGGAUUAUAAUUCAUCGUUUAUGUGUCAUCAUGUUAAAUGUGAACGUGCAAUCGUUGUUUAUGAAAAUAAAACCAAACGUUCUU
rnacentral:misc_RNA from 1 species